rnacentral:rRNA from 1 species
GGAGGUGAAUCUAGCUCUGUACUCCGACAUGCAUCUAAUUUAUAGUUUGAUCAUGGCCUCANAAGCUGAACGCUGGCGUGGUAGUGCCCUAACACAUGCAAGUCGAACGGCAGCACAGUGAGAGCUUGCUCGUCGUGGGUGUGCGAGUGGCGGACGGGUGAGGAAUACAUCGGAAGUCUACUCUGGUCGUGGGGGGAUAACGCUAGGGAAACCUUACGCGUAAGUACCGCAUACGAACCCUACUGGGUUGAGAAGCACGGGGUAAUCUAUCGGGACCAUUGGCCGCCGAAAUUUGAAAAAUGGACGGCCAGGACNAUGGUCAGGGAANUAUAAGCAGNUAAGCUAUGUGCGGGGGGUAAAUUUGUGNCCCGAGACCCAAUAGUGUUCCGAACGGAAGUCCCGUGUAUCCNUUGUUGGGUCCUUUGGAANACAGUGGCANUUGAAGUUCGAGGACGCCACAAGUCUUUGGGGAAAACCCUUGACAGAACACCAGGGUAUCGCCANAACAGUUCNNCAUAC